CCUACGGGAGGCAGCAGUGAGGAAUAUUGGUCAAUGGCCGGAAGGCUGAACCAGCCAUGCCGCGUGAAGGUCAGUGCCCUAUGGGCGUUAAACUUCUUUUGUGCGGGAGCAAUAAUGGUCACGUGUGGCCAGAAGAGAGUACCGUACGAAUAAGCAUCGGCUAACUCCGGGCCAGCAGCCGCGGUAAUACGGGGGAUGCAAGCGUUAUCCGGAUUUAUUGGGGUUAAAGGGUGCGUAGGCUGGGAGGUAAGUCAGCGGUGAAAUGCCCCCGCUCAACGGGGUGAAGUGCCAUUGAUACUGCCUGGCUGGAAUGCGGAUGCCGUGGGAGGAAUGUGGGGUGUAGCGGUGAAAUGCAUAGAUAUCACACAGAACACCGAUUGCGAAGGCAUCUCACGAGUCCGCGAUUGACGCUGAGGCACGAAAGCGUGGGUAUCAAACAGGAUUAGAUACCCCUGUAGUC
rnacentral:rRNA from 1 species